ACGGCUCAACCGUGGAGGGUCAUUGGAAACUGGGAGACUUGAGUGCAGGAGAGAAAAGUGGAAUUCCACGUGUAGCGGUGAAAUGCGUAGAGAUGUGGAGGAACACCAGUGGCGAAGGCGGCUUUUUGGCCUGUAACUGACGCUGAGGCGCGAAAGCGUGGGGAGCAAACAGGAUUAGAUACCCUGGUAGUCCACGCCGUAAACGAUGAGUGCUAGGUGUUGGGGGGUUCCACCCUCAGUGCUGAAGUUAACACAUUAAGCACUCCGCCUGGGGAGUACGACCGCAAGGUUGAAACUCAAAGGAAUUGACGGGGGCCCGCACAAGCAGUGGAGCAUGUGGUUUAAUUCGAAGCAACGCGAAGAACCUUACCAGGUCUUGACAUCCUCUGACCACUCUAGAGAUAGAGCUUUCCCCUUCGGGGGACAGAGUGACAGGUGGUGCAUGGUUGUCGUCAGCUCGUGUCGUGAGAUGUUGGGUUAAGUCCCGCAACGAGCGCAACCCUUGACCUUAGUUGCCAGCAUUCAGUUGGGCACUCUAAGGUGACUGCCGGUGACAAACCGGAGGAAGGUGGGGAUGACGUCAAAUCAUCAUGCCCCUUAUGACCUGGGCUACACACGUGCUACAAUGGAUGGUACAAAGGGUUGCGAAGCCGCGAGGCCAAGCCAAUCCCAAAAAGCCAUUCUCAGUUCGGAUUGUAGGCUGCAACUCGCCUACAUGAAGCCGGAAUUGCUAGUAAUCGCGGAUCAG
rnacentral:rRNA from 1 species